rnacentral:misc_RNA from 1 species
AAGUCGUAACAAGGUUUCCGUAGGUGAACCUGCGGAAGGAUCAUUAUUGAAUAAACUUGGUUGGGUUGCUGCUGGCUCUCAGGAGCAUGUGCACGCUUAUUCCAUUUUUUAAACCACCUGUGCACAUCUUGUAGACCUGGCGAUGAAAUAUUUUUCGAGGCAACUCGGUUUGAGGACUGCAUAGCUGUUCUUGAGUCAUCAGGUCUAUGUUUUCAUCAUAUACUCCGUAACAAGUUAUUUGGAAUGUUAAACUUUUGGGCCUCUUUUGUGCCUUUAAACCUAAUACAACUUUCAACAACGGAUCUCUUGGCUCUC